CCAGUUUCGCGUCGGUCUCUGAUUAAUUCAGACGUAUUUCUCGCGGCUCUUAUUGUUUGUUCGAUCUUCUGCAUUCUAAAUUUGCAUUAUAUUCGGUCAGCAGUCGACUAUUUAUUUUUAACUUGCGACUAUAGUAAUGUUUGUUAUUGCUUGUGCGUUUAUUGUCCUUUAUCGCUUUAUAUUUGGUUGAUAACCAGUGAUAAUUAGUGGUUUUAGCCGUGUUCGGUAUUUUAAUAGUAAUUUAUCCCGUGUAUAAUCGUCGUAAAUCUAAAUUUUCCGAAUUUAGUGUACCUAUUCAAAAAAGUGAGUGCGUUAUGAACAUCACUAAUAAAUUCUUGCGGUAGCGAAUAUUUUUCCUCAAUCGCAGAAUAUGAACUUGUCGUACCAUCGCAAUCCGAUGAGCGCUGCAUUAUAUUCGCUGUACCAUGGAGUCCGAUGAGUUCUGCAUUAACAUUUACAUAAACGUUAACGCUAGCCUUCUACGGUGCUUUGAAUGGGAGUCACUUCUACCGCUAUCUUCGUACGUUGCUCUAAAUGGGAGUCUUUAUGGAUCCUUUGUUGGAUGAAGCAUUGGCAAUCCUGAGAUGGCCUAGUUUAUCAACAGGGACCAACUGGAGAGGUUCCGUGGUACAGGUAGAGUGCGUUUUGAGGAUGAAGUUUUGAUUACUGAAGAUGGAUGUGUCAACUAGACUAAAAUACCCAGAACAGUCCGAGAAAUUGAAGAUUGGAUUGCCGGUGUUGAUGAUGAUUCCAAAUACGAUUGAAUGAAUUUACAACAAUUCGAAGCUGUUAUUGAUUUCAUUUUUGUUUAUUUUGUUAAUAGUUAUAAAAAGAGCAUUAUAUAAUUGUGUAAUAUUAUCCUGUUUUUAUGCAUGUAUUUUUAAAAAUGCUGUAUAUAUUGAGAAAUUGAGUUUGUGAUUCUACACGUUUGAAUAAAAUUGUUGUUUUAUAUUUUUAACUAUAAA